CUGUUGUAUGAAAGGAGAAAAGGUUAGCAAUUUCUUAGACUAGGAUGAAAGACUUCAGCUUGCAGCAUGCAUAAGGUUAAAGCACUGCUAACUAUUUCAUGAUAUCUAACCAAUGUUUUUG